rnacentral:rRNA from 1 species
CCUACGGGCGGCAGCAGUGAGGAAUAUUGGUCAAUGGACGAGAGUCUGAACCAGCCAAGUAGCGUGAAGGAUGACUGCCCUAUGGGUUGUAAACUUCUUUUGUCAAGGGACAAAAUCAGGCUCGAGAGCCUGACCGAGGGUACUUGAAGAAAAAGCAUCGGCUAACUCCGUGCCAGCAGCCGCGGUAAUACGGAGGAUGCGAGCGUUAUCCGGAUUUAUUGGGUUUAAAGGGUGCGUAGGCGGACUGUUAAGUCAGCGGUAAAAGCCCGGGGCUCAACCCCGGCGAGCCGUUGAAACUGGCUGUCUUGAGAUGUCGAGAGGUAUGCGGAAUGCGCAGUGUAGCGGUGAAAUGCUUAGAUAUUGCGCAGAACUCCGAUUGCGAAGGCAGCAUACCGGCGGCGAUCUGACGCUGAGGCACGAAAGCGUGGGUAUCGAACAGGAUUAGAUACCCUAGUAGUC